UCGGCAGAGAGGAUCGGUGGAUUCUAAUCCCAAAUUUUAUUGUGAAGAUAUGGACAAAAUAAUCCAGAAAGGUGAAGCUUCAAAUGCAAGAGAGGACGGUGGACCAGGGCUCAGACUGCGGAGAAGCACAUUCUAAAUACCUGCAAAAAAGAAGAGAAACUACCACAAUCUACAGCACAAGAGUGCUGUCCAUUUAUCACUGUUUAGAAACGUGUCAUAACUCUUAUCAGAACUGUGGACUUGUGGUAAAUAUUCGAGACCUCGCUCACUGUUCAGACACUGACUAUUCAGAGAAAAUGAUGUGCCAGCUCCAAGCGUGUUGUCUCUUCUGGGACCGCCAUUUUUCUAUUCAGAGUUACAACUGGGUUCUACAGGAUUCGUUUUCCUGGAUCUUUCAGGUCACUCAUAUACUUAGAUUUUAUUUUUCUUAUACAUAGAUCCUUGUAGACUUUUAAAGAUAAUCUUAGAAAAAUAUUUUUCUUGUUUUAGGUUUGAGGAGAAAAAAAAAACCUGUCAACUCUUCAUAUCUCCCUUCCUUCACAUUCAAAUUUAAUGAUACGGUGUUAGCAACUAUGUUUUUCAUGUUGGGUGUUGGAAUUUGAGCUACCCCUACGUGUUACUGAAGAUAUCAUUUUCUCCAUUUUUGUCCUAUUUGUUUUUCAG
rnacentral:lncRNA from 1 species